rnacentral:tRNA from 1 species
UCCCCAAUGGUCCAGUGGUUAAGACUCCAUGCUUCAAAUGCAGGGGACCUGGGUUCAAUCCCUGGUUGAGGAA